rnacentral:rRNA from 1 species
GACGAACGCUGGCGGCGUGCUUAACACAUGCAAGUCGAACGGAAAGGCCCUGCUUUUGUGGGGUGCUCGAGUGGCGAACGGGUGAGUAACACGUGAGUAACCUGCCCUUGACUUUGGGAUAACUUCAGGAAACUGGGGCUAAUACCGGAUAGGAGCUCCUGCUGCAUGGUGGGGGUUGGAAAGUUUCGGCGGUUGGGGAUGGACUCGCGGCUUAUCAGCUUGUUGGUGGGGUAGUGGCUUACCAAGGCUUUGACGGGUAGCCGGCCUGAGAGGGUGACCGGCCACAUUGGGACUGAGAUACGGGCCAGACGGCUACGGGAGGCAGCAGUGGGGAAUAUUGCACAAUGGGCGGAAGGCUGAUGCAGCAACGCCGGGUGCGGGAUGACGGCCUUCGGGUUGUAAACCGCUUUCGCCUGUGACGAAGCGUGAGUGACGGUAAUGGGUAAAGAAGCACCGGCUAACUACGUG